UAGGGAAUCUUCGGCAAUGGGGGCAACCCUGACCGAGCAACGCCGCGUGAGUGAAGAAGGUUUUCGGAUCGUAAAGCUCUGUUGUAAGAGAAGAACGUGUGUGAGAGUGGAAAGUUCACACAGUGACGGUAACUUACCAGAAAGGGACGGCUAACUACGUGCCAGCAGCCGCGGUAAUACGUAGGUCCCGAGCGUUGUCCGGAUUUAUUGGGCGUAAAGCGAGCGCAGGCGGUUUAAUAAGUCUGAAGUUAAAGGCAGUGGCUUAACCAUUGUUCGCUUUGGAAACUGUUAAACUUGAGUGCAGAAGGGGAGAGUGGAAUUCCAUGUGUAGCGGUGAAAUGCGUAGAUAUAUGGAGGGACACCGGUGGCGAAAGCGGCUCUCUGGUCUGUAACUGACGCUGAGGCUCGAAAGCGUGGGGAGCAAACAGG
rnacentral:rRNA from 1 species